rnacentral:rRNA from 1 species
GAUGAACGCUAGCGGCGUGCCUAAUGCAUGCAAGUCGAACGGGAUCCUUUGGACUCGUCUGAAGGUGAGAGUGGCGAACGGGUGAGUAACACGUUGGUGACCUGCCCCAGAGAGGGGGAUAACUACUGGAAACGGUAGCUAAUACCCCGGAUGUUAUUGUGCUUAGAAAGCAAUAACUAAAGCUCCGGCGCUCUGGGAGGGGCCUGCGGCCCAUCAGCUUGUUGGUAGGGUAAUGGCCUACCAAGGCAAAGACGGGUAGGGGGCGUGAGAGCGUGACCCCCCACACUGGUACUGAGACACGGACCAGAUACCUGCGGGUAGCAGCAGCAAGGAAUAUUGCCCAAUGGACGAAAGUCUGAGGCAGCAACGCCGCGUGGAGGAUGAAGGCCUUCGGGUUGUAAACUCCUUUUCUGGGGGAAUAGAAAGGAAGGUACCCCAGGAAUAAGUCUCGGCUAACUACGUGCCAGCAGCCGCGGUAAAACGUAGGAGGCGAGCGUUAUCCGGAUUUACUGGGCGUAAAGCGCAUGCAGGCGGUUUUCUAAGUCGGACGUGAAAGCUCUCGGCUCAACUGGGAGAGGCCGUUCGAAACUAGGAGACUUGAGGGUGGUAGAGGAGAGUGGAAUUCCCCGGUGUAGUGGUGAAAUGCGUAGAUAUCGGGAGGAACACCAGUGGCGAAGGC